rnacentral:rRNA from 1 species
CACUUCCUCUCUGCGUGUGUGUGUGGAGGAAGUAAGCAAGCAAACGAGACUCAUCAGCUUGGAUUUUGUAAGUAGUUGCGAAUGAACACAAAUUUGAUCACUUUGGCAAUCUGUACACAUUGCUGUGUAACAAUUUGUAUACGUUGGCACAGUGCUAUCAAAGCUGCAUGCAAGUGUUUUUUGAAAGGAUACAACAUGGGAUGUGAUAUUCAUGUGUGUGUGCCUGCUUUGUCCACAGCCUGUGCUGUAUGAAUCACAUUUCUUGCAACUGAAAUGCUAAUGGCAUGGUAAAGUUCAUGUGACAUGACACAAGCUUGAGAUUCAUGAUGUGCAAGUACCAUGAGGGAAAUGUGAAAAGGACUUUGGAAAGAGAAUUAAAUAAAGCCUGCAUUUGCUGACAAUGAAAGCAAGUGUGGAUGUUCAUGUAAUUGUUACUGCAUCAAUCAAUGUUCAUCUUGGUUACUGCAUGCUUUAUAUUACAGCUCAGAACAUGAAGUGUGUGUAACAGCUCUGCUUUGAUUUUUCCCACAUGGGAUCAGUUGAAACAUUGUGAGAGCACUCUUCAGUUUCCUUAUGUACCCACCAGCUUUGUCCACUCGCGUGUUGGCACACAUGUAAUGAUGAUGUGUUUAUGCAAGAUACUUCUGUGCUCAACAACAUGUGUCAAUCCUCCUGGC